rnacentral:rRNA from 1 species
CCUACGGGAGGCAGCAGUGAGGAAUAUUGGUCAAUGGACGAGAGUCUGAACCAGCCAAGUAGCGUGAAGGAUGACUGCCCUAUGGGUUGUAAACUUCUUUUAUAUGGGAAUAAAAUGUUCCACGUGUGGGAUUUUGUAUGUACCAUAUGAAUAAGGAUCGGCUAACUCCGUGCCAGCAGCCGCGGUAAUACGGAGGAUCCGAGCGUUACCCGGAUUUAUUGGGUUUAAAGGGAGCGUAGGUGGAUUGUUAAGUCAGUUGUGAAAGUUUGCGGCUCAACCGUAAAAUUGCAGUUGAAACUGGGAGUCUUGAGUACGGUAGAGGUGGGCGGAAUUCGUGGUGUAGCGGUGAAAUGCUUAGAUAUCACGAAGAACUCCGAUUGCGAAGGCAGCUCACUGGACUGCAACUGACACUGAGGCUCGAAAGUGUGGGUAUCAAACAGGAUUAGAUACCCCAGUAGUC